UAGGGAAUCUUCCGCAAUGGACGCAAGUCUGACGGAGCAACGCCGCGUGAGUGAAGAAGGUUUUCGGUUCGUAAAACUCUGUUGUAAGAGAAGAACAAAUUGUAGAGUAACUGCUACAGUCUUGACGGUAUCUUACCAGAAAGCCACGGCUAACUACGCGCCAGCAGCCGCGGUAAUACGUAGGUGGCAAGCGUUGUCCGGAUUUAUUGGGCGUAAAGGGGGCGCAGGCGGUCUAUUAAGUCAGGUGUGAAAGCGUGAGGCUUAACCUCAUUAAGCACUUGAAACUGAUAGGCUUGAGUGAAGGAGAGGAAAGUGGAAUUCCUAGUGUAGCGGUGAAAUGCGUAGAUAUUAGGAGGAAUACCGGUGGCGAAGGCGACUUUCUGGACUUUUACUGACGCUCAGGUACGAAAGCGUGGGGAGCAAACAGG
rnacentral:rRNA from 1 species